rnacentral:rRNA from 1 species
GAAAGCGGUGCUAAUACCGGAUAAGACCACUACCGCUACGGCGGCAGAGGUAAAAGCUGACCUCUCCAUGGAAGUUAGCGUUUGAGGACGGGCCCGCGUCCUAUCAGCUUGUUGGUAGGGUAACGGCCUACCAAGGCAACGACGGGUAGCUGGUCUGAGAGGAUGAUCAGCCACACUGGAACUGGAACACGGUCCAGACUCCUACGGGAGGCAGCAGUGAGGAAUUUUGCGCAAUGGGCGAAAGCCUGACGCAGCAACGCCGCGUGGGUGAAGAAGGCCUUCGGGUCGUAAAGCCCUGUCAGGUGGGAAGAACCGUUUCGAUACUAAUAAUGUCGAAGCCUGACGGUACCACCAGAGGAAGCACCGGCCAACUCCGUGCCAGCAGCCGCGGUAAUACGGGAGGGUGCAAGCGUUUGUUCGGAAUUAUUGGGCCGUUAAAAAACCGUGUAGGCGGUUCAGGAAAGUCAAGGUGUGAAA